AUGGCUGCCUCUGCCGCACUCGUUUUUGCAGGGAAAUCCGUGGCGACUUCGGCCAUAUCCUUCUUGGUCAACAAGGCUUUCAGCUACAUCGAUGAGUACUGCAAGUCCGAAAACAUGGAUGAGUUGAAGAAUCGGCUCCUACGGGCCAUGCCAUAUAUCCAGGCGGUGUUCGAUGUCGUCAACCCGGAACUUGUCAGGGAGCAAAGCAGCGGCCUCGACGCGUGGCUCUGGCAGCUCAGGGACGCGGUCGAGGCCGCUGAGGACGCCAUCGACGAGCUUGAAUACUACGAGCUCGAGGAGAAGGCCAAGGACCAAAAGGUUAGUGAAUGGGGUUCUCCUCUUGGUAAGAUGAAGCACAAGUUUGUCAGAUCUUUUGGCCCUGCUGUCAACAAGACUCUCAAGAAAAUUAGUCACCGUGACACACUGAAGAGAUUGAUGAAAUCUGUGGAUGAUUUAGACAAGGCUGCCACAGGUGUUAGUGAUUUCCUCAAGCUCACAGACCAUCUCAGUGGAGGUUCUUCUACCAGCAGUCAGCAGAAAGUGCAGAAGCUCAUGGACAAUGAUCGCCAGACUAGUUCAAUAUUAAGUGCAACCAUUUUUGUUGGACGAGAAAAGGAGAAAGAACAGAUUAUUGGAUGGCUAACCAACACGUCAGAUGAAUUGGGAGAAACUAGGGUCAGAAGGACCUAUAGUAUUCCAAUUAUUUCAGUUAUUGGUCAUGGUGGCAUGGGGAAGACUACCUUGGCUCAGAGCAUAUGCAAGCAAGAUGAGGUACUAAAGCAUUUUAAGGUCAUCUGGACCACCAUAUCUACUAGCUUUGAUGCGACAUCGGUGACAAGUAAAAUACUGGAAGACGCUACGCGCGUGAAACCGAGCAGCGAUCAUUUGGAACCACUACAACGGGACCUCAAAGAGAAACUCACAUCCAUUAAUUUUUUGUUAGUUCUAGAUGACGUUUGGGAAGAUAAGAAGAGAGAUGAAUGGGAGAAGUUAUUUGCUCCUCUUAAGGAACUGAACACGACUGGGAGCACAAUUCUGUUGACAAUCCGAAUGCAAUCUGUAGCAGACAUGGCUGCAAAGGUGAUGGGAGUCGAAAGGGAUAAGUUCUUGACAUUACAAGGACUGGAAGAUGAUAAAAAUCUCAAGCUCUUCAAUCAUCAUGCCUUUUCCGGUUUGAAUCUAAGAGAUUCAUAUUUGAAGUUAAUUGGAGAACAAAUUGCAAAGAAACUGAGAGGAUGUCCCUUAGUAACGAAGGUUGUCGCUGAGCAUCUGCAAAGCAAUAUAACACCUGAAUACUGGAGGAAAUUCUUGCAUCAAGGAUUGGAACAUUUUAAAGGAACCGAAAAAGAUAUUAUGGAGGUUCUCAGAUUGAGCUAUUACCACUUACCAACAGAGCUACAGAUUUGCUUUCGGUACUGUUGCCUAUUUCCGCAGGACUAUAUAUUUGAAAAGAAAGUGUUGGUGCGAAUGUGGAUUGGUUCAGGAUUGAUUGCAAGUGGCAUUCAAUCUUUGGAGGAUACUGCAGAACAAUUCUUGGCUUAG
rnacentral:rRNA from 1 species